GGCACGGCAGCUAGGGUCGUGGGGAGUGCUGGACGCCCAGGAGUCCAGGACCCAGAGGGCCACUGAGCGUCUCCACUUCCCCAAACCGCAGAGAAUCUGGGAUCCAGCCCCAACCCGGGACCCUGCAGCGACUCCGGAGCAGAAUUGGGGACCUGCAAACGGCGCCCAGGCCCGGUGGCUGCGCCGAGUUCCCUGUCCUGUCUGUUCCCGCGCCACGUCGUGGUGGUCGGUGCACGUUCCCUGGGGCCUCCCGAGGGCCUGCUUGGGUGGAUUCGAGCAGAGGGAUUACCUGAGACUCCCGAGGUACGGCGGGGUGCGGGCCGGGGAGAGGGUGUAGUGUUGGAGAGGGAGGCGGAGACUCAGCUCCCAGCCCCCCAAGGCCGCCGCUCCCCCGUGUCCUCAGGAGCCUGAGAACCCCCUCCCUCCUACCAGCAGCUGGAGGCUGAGUCACGCUGCUCUCAGGAGACAAAGGCAGCCUCGGGCCCUCCUUCCAGACCCCCUCCUGCUGUGGCGUUUGCACUAGCUGAAAGUCCUUCCUUCGUCCCCUCCCCAGAAUCUCCGCUCGAGGCUAAGCCUCCAUCGUGGAAGAAUGGAAGUGGGUUUAGGGACGAGGUCCUUCUAGCUUGGGAGUGGCAUCUCUGUCACAAUCAUCAUGCUCUGCCGUGGGGGUCUCAGGAGGUUGCAUGUUCCCCAGGAUGGGGAUGGGCUUGGGCCCCACUGUCCUCUCCCUGCAGCCCUGCCAACGAGGUGUAGAUGAGACAAUGGAGGCCUGGAAAGGUAGACUGGUCCCAAGACCUCAGGAAUUCUGUCCAGCCUGGGACUGGGGACACUGCGGGCAUGUUGGGGACAGCUGUAGGGAGCAGGGAGCGACUCCCCGGU
ensembl:lncRNA